rnacentral:rRNA from 1 species
CCUGAUGGAGGGGGAUAACUACUGGAAACGGUAGCUAAUACCGCAUAACGUCUUCGGACCAAAGUGGGGGACCUUCGGGCCUCAUGCCAUCAGAUGUGCCCAGAUGGGAUUAGCUAGUAGGUGGGGUAACGGCUCACCUAGGCGACGAUCCCUAGCUGGUCUGAGAGGAUGACCAGCCACACUGGAACUGAGACACGGUCCAGACUCCUACGGGAGGCAGCAGUGGGGAAUAUUGCACAAUGGGCGCAAGCCUGAUGCAGCCAUGCCGCGUGUAUGAAGAAGGCCUUCGGGUUGUAAAGUACUUUCAGCGAGGAGGAAGGCAUUAAGGUUAAUAACCUUGGUGAUUGACGUUACUCGCAGAAGAAGCACCGGCUAACUCCGUGCCAGCAGCCGCGGUAAU